rnacentral:rRNA from 1 species
UGGGGAAUAUUGCACAAUGGGCGAAAGCCUGAUGCAGCAACGCCGCGUGAGGGACGACGGCCUUCGGGUUGUAAACCUCUUUUAGCAAGGAAGAAGCGAAAGUGACGGUACUUGCAGAAAAAGCGCCGGCUAACUACGUGCCAGCAGCCGCGGUAAUACGUAGGGCGCAAGCGUUAUCCGGAAUUAUUGGGCGUAAAGAGCUCGUAGGCGGUUUGUCGCGUCUGCUGUGAAAACCCGAGGCUCAACCUCGGGCCUGCAGUGGGUACGGGCAGACUAGAGUGCGGUAGGGGAGAUUGGAACUCCUGGUGUAGCGGUGGAAUGCGCAGAUAUCAGGAAGAACACCGAUGGCGAAGGCAGAUCUCUGGGCCGUAACUGACGCUGAGGAGCGAAAGGGUGGGGAGCAAACAGGCUUAGAUACCCUGGUAGUCCACCCCGUAAACGUUGGGAACUAGUUGUGGGGUCCAUUCCACGGAUUCCGUGACGCAGCUAACGCAUUAAGUUCCCCGCCUGGGGAGUACGGCCGCAAGGCUAAACUCAAAGGAAUUGACGGGGUCAUAGCUGUUUCCU